UGUUACCUGUGCUAUGGAUGAGUGUAUAAAUAUCAGUUUACCUGAAGGUGGUGACCCAUGGUUGCCAUGGAACCCACAAGAGCAUCUUCUCUGGAGAGGGGGUUGUCAUAGAAACAGUGCUGUCUCUAUGGCAACAGUGCAUCAUUAUUUCCCCUCUUUCAACUGAAAUAUGUUUAAAGAACCUGUUGAGGAAAGUAUGUGCAUUUAUUGGAAGUAAGAGCCAAUAUCCAGGCCUGGUAUGAAAUAUUAGGGAGGCUGAUGUGCAAACCCGCUGAAGAGAUGCAUUUGUUUCUUCUUUGCAUUUCAGAGAUACUGUAGAUCAGGGGUUCCCAGCCGGCUGUCCAUGGACCACCAGGGUCUGCCUGCAGCAUGUCUGUGAAGAACCAGGGCUGUGGUUGUGAAUGGUGGCAGUGGCAACAGCAACUACAGCUGCUCCAGGAUGGACCGGAAGUGAUGGGCAGGAGGAAGUGGCCUGAAAAGGGUCAAAAACACAUUGCACCUCAUGUAUUACAAUCUGAAUUCUUGGGACUCAAAUUGUAUUACAAAAACCAUAUAGCAUAUAACACAGUGCAUUACCAUUGCUACCGUAGGCUGAUGAAUCAUUAAGUCGUCCGCCACGACCCUCAGCAAUUUUUGAGUGGUCCAUGGGAGAAAAGGUUUGGGCAUCACUGCUGAAGGUGGAACCAGAUAUGAGAAAAUUGGCUCCAGUUGUCCUUUACUCACCUCCCUUGCCAGCCCUUUGGUGUAGGACCUCAGAAGCCUCCUGUUCUCACUUCCCCAAUCAAAGAAUGUGUUGUGUAGAUAAGGCCUUAUCCAAGCUGAGGGAUACUGGCACUGUGACCUAACCCAGGCCUUGCUUCCCCUUUCUGGGCUGUGACUGUGCAAGAUUUUCCCUUUAAAUCCAUCUGUAAUGCUGAUGUAAUCCUGACCUUGGCUGCAAAGUACAGUACUUAUCUGCGACAGGUGGUAUUCAGCUAAGUGUGAAUCAGAGAAUGCAUACUUCCAGGGAUUAUUCCUCUUUGCCCCUCUGCCACCCUUAAAAAAUUCAAAAUUCUCUGACCUUCAUGUCAGCAAACUUUGUGGUGUUUCCAUCUUGCAUCUUAAUACAAUACUCUGUGGGAACCAGAUACUGUUGCACAAACACCCUGCUCUUCACAGCUCCAUGUCACAUUCUGUGGGAGCAACAGAGAUUUGAAUUCUCAUGCCCACCUCAGGACUGGGCCAGAGAGUAUGAAUCCUCUUUUCCACUGUGGGCCAU